rnacentral:rRNA from 1 species
AUUGAACGCUGGCGGCAGGCUUAACACAUGCAAGUCGAGCGGAGCGAAGGUGCUUGCACCUUAGCUUAGCGGCGGACGGGUGAGUAAUGCUUAGGAAUCUGCCUAUUAGUGGGGGACAACGUUUCGAAAGGAACGCUAAUACCGCAUACGUCCUACGGGAGAAAGCAGGGGGUCUUCGGACCUUGUGCUAAUAGAUGAGCCUAAGGCGGAUUAGCUAGUUGGUGGGGUAAAGGCCUACCAAGGCGACGAUCUGUAGCGGGUCUGAGAGGAUGAUCCGCCACACUGGGACUGAGACACGGCCCAGACUCCUACGGGAGGCAGCAGUGGGGAAUACUGGACAAUGGGCGAAAGCCUGAUCCAGCCAUGCCGCGUGUGUGAAGAAGGCCUUUUGGUUGUAAAGCACUUUAAGCGAGGAGGAGGAGCUUCAGGUUAAUACCCUGGAUGCUUGGACGUUACUCGCAGAAUAAGCACCGGCUAACUCUGUGCCAGCAGCCGCAGUAA